rnacentral:rRNA from 1 species
AUUGAACGCUGGCGGAAUGCUUUACACAUGCAAGUCGAGCGGCAGCGCGGGGCAACCUGGCGGCGAGCGGCGAACGGGUGAGUAAUGUAUCGGAACGUGUCCUUGAGUGGGGGAUAGCCCGGUGAAAACCGGAUUAAUACCGCAUGAGCUCGGGAGAGGAAAGCGGGGGAUCGCAAGACCUCGCGCUGAAGGAGCGGCCGAUAUCCGAUUAGCUAGAUGGUGAGGUAAAGGCUUACCAUGGCUUUGAUCGGUAGCUGGUCUGAGAGGAUGAUCAGCCACACUGGGACUGAGACACGGCCCAGACUCCUACGGGAGGCAGCAGUGGGGAAUUUUGGACAAUGGGGGCAACCCUGAUCCAGCCAUUCCGCGUGAGUGAAGAAGGCCUUCGGGUUGUAAAGCCCUUUAGGUUGGGAAAAAGUGUAAGGGAGGAUAAUGCUCUUACAUUGAUUGUACUAACAGAAUAAGCACCGGCAAACUCUGUGCCAGCAGCCGCAGUAACAC